rnacentral:rRNA from 1 species
GGAAUAUUGGACAAUGGGCGCAAGCCUGAUCCAGCCAUGCCGCGUGUGUGAAGAAGGCCUUCGGGUUGUAAAGCACUUUCAGCGGGGAGGAAGGGGUUGUUGUUAAUAGCAACAAUCUUUGACGUUACCCGCAGAAGAAGCACCGGCUAACUCCGUGCCAGCAGCCGCGGUAAUACGGAGGGUGCAAGCGUUAAUCGGAAUUACUGGGCGUAAAGCGCGCGUAGGCGGCUUUGUAAGUCGGAUGUGAAAGCCCUGGGCUUAACCUGGGAAUUGCAUUCGAUACUGCAUGGCUAGAGUAUGGUAGAGGGAAGUGGAAUUUCCGGUGUAGCGGUGAAAUGCGUAGAUAUCGGAAGGAACACCAGUGGCGAAGGCGACUUCCUGGGCCAAUACUGACGCUGAGGUGCGAAAGCGUGGGGAGCAAA